rnacentral:tRNA from 1 species
UCCGGGAUAGCUCAGAUGGCAGAGCAGCGCACUGUUAAUGCGCGGGUCGUAGGUUCGAGCCCUGCUCCCGGAGCAA